rnacentral:rRNA from 1 species
CAAUAGCGUAUAUUAAAGUUGUUGCAGUUAAAAAGCUCGUAGUUGGAUUUCGGGACGGGCCAGUUGGUCCGCCGCAAGGUGUGUUACUGACUGGUCUGUUCUUCUUCGCAAAGACCGCGUGUGCUCUUCGUUGAGUGUGCGUAGGAUUUACGACGUUUACUUUGAAAAAAUUAGAGUGUUCAAAGCAGGCUAUCGCUUGAAUACAUGAGCAUGGAAUAAUGGAAUAGGACUUUGGUCCUAUUUUGUUGGUUUCUAGGACCGAAGUAAUGAUUAAGAGGGACAAUUGGGGGCAUCCGUAUUUCGUUGUCAGAGGUGAAAUUCUUGGAUUUACGAAAGACGAACAACUGCGAAAGCACUUGCCAAGAGUGUUUUCAUUAA